rnacentral:snoRNA from 1 species
CUCAAUUCUUAAAACAAUCACGUUCCUGCCCCACCCAUGGCUGGCACUGGCCCAAAAGGCUGCCACAGAGACACUGUAACACAUGGGCCCUGUUCCUCUCUGCUGAGCCUCAGGGAUAAAUUGUGUUACAGACAUUA